rnacentral:rRNA from 1 species
CCUACGGGAGGCAGCAGUGGGGAAUAUUGGUCAAUGGACGCAAGUCUGACCCAGCGAUGCCGCGUGCAGGCUGACGGCUCUCUGAGUUUUAAACUGCUUUUGUACGAGGGUACACCCCGCUACGUAUUUCGGAUUGCACUUAUCGUACGAAUCAGGGUCGGAUCACUCCGUGCCAGCCUCCCAGGUAAUACGGAGGAUCCGAGCGUUAUCCGGGUUUGUUGGGUUUAAAGGGUGCGGAGGCGGUUUGAUAAGUUAGAGGUGAAGUGUCGGGGCUCAACCCCGAAACUGGCUAUAAUACUGUUGGACUAGAGAAUAGUUGCGGUAGGCGGAAUGUAUGGUGUAGCGGUGAAAUGCUUAGAGAUCAUACAGAACACCGAUUGCGAAGGCAGCUUACCAAACUAUAUCUGACGUUGAGGCACGAAAGCGUGGGUAGCAAACAGGAUUAGAUACCCUAGUAGUC